rnacentral:rRNA from 1 species
UUCGUAGGCGGUUUGUCGCGUCGUUUGUGAAAACCCGGGGCUCAACUUCGGGCUUGCAGGCGAUACGGGCAGACUUGAGUGUUCCAGGGGAGACUGGAAUUCCUGGUGUAGCGGUGAAAUGCGCAGAUAUCAGGAGGAACACCGGUGGCGAAGGCGGGUCUCUGGGAAACAACUGACGCUGAGGAACGAAAGCGUGGGUAGCAAACA